UGGGGAAUAUUGCACAAUGGGCGCAAGCCUGAUGCAGCAACGCCGCGUGAGGGAUGACGGCCUUCGGGUUGUAAACCUCUUUUAGCAGGGAAGAAGCGAGAGUGACGGUACCUGCAGAAAAAGCACCGGCUAACUACGUGCCAGCAGCCGCGGUAAUACGUAGGGUGCAAGCGUUAUCCGGGAUUAUUGGGCGUAAAGAGCUCGUAGGCGGUUUGUCGCGUCUGCUGUGAAAACCCGAGGCUCAACCUCGGGCCUGCAGUGGGUACGGGCAGACUAGAGUGCGGUAGGGGAGAUUGGAAUUCCUGGUGUAGCGGUGGAAUGCGCAGAUAUCAGGAGGAACACCGAUGGCGAAGGCAGAUCUCUGGGCCGUAACUGACGCUGAGGAGCGAAAGGGUGGGGAGCAAACAGGCUUAGAUACCCUGGUAGUCCACCCCGUAAACGUUGGGAAACUAGUUGUGGGGUCCAUUCCACGGAUUCCGUGACGCAGCUAACGCAUUAA
rnacentral:rRNA from 1 species